GCCGGGGUAGCUCAGUCGGUAGAGCAGUGGACUGAAAAUCCGCGUGUCGGCGGUUCAAAUCCGUCCCCCGGCA
rnacentral:tRNA from 1 species